GAGUUUGAUCCUGGCUCAGGACGAACGCUGGCGGCGUGCCUAACACAUGCAAGUCGAGCGAGAGACUUCGGUCUCUAGCGGCGGACGGGUGAGUAACACGUGGGUAACCUGCCUCAAACAGGGGGAUAGCCUUCCGAAAGGAAGAUUAAUACCGCAUAAUAUAGUUUAACCGCAUGGUUAGAUUAUCAAAGGAGUCUUAUCAAUUUAUUGAUAAGCAUCCGGUUUGAGAUGGACCCGCGGCGCAUUAGCUAGUUGGUGAGGUAACGGCUCACCAAGGCGACGAUGCGUAGCCGACCUGAGAGGGUGAUCGGCCACAUUGGAACUGAGAUACGGUCCAAACUCCUACGGGAGGCAGCAGUGGGGAAUAUUGCACAAUGGGCGAAAGCCUGAUGCAGCAACGCCGCGUGAGUGAUGAAGGCCUUCGGGUUGUAAAGCUCUGUCUUUGGGGACGAUAAUGACGGUACCCAAGGAGGAAGCCACGGCUAACUACGUGCCAGCAGCCGCGGUAAUACGUAGGUGGCAAGCGUUGUCCGGAUUUACUGGGCGUAAAGGAUGCGUAGGUGGAUAUUUAAGUCAGAUGUGAAAUACCCGAGCUUAACUUGGGAACUGCAUUUGAAACUGGAUAUCUAGAGUGCAGGAGAGGUAAGUGGAAUUCCUAGUGUAGCGGUGAAAUGCGUACAGAUUAGGAAGAACACCAGUGGCGAAGGCGACUUACUGGACUGUAACUGACACUGAGGCAUGAAAGCGUGGGGGAGCAAACAGGAUUAGAUACCCUGGUAGUCCACGCCGUAAACGAUGAGUACUAGGUGUAGG
rnacentral:rRNA from 1 species